rnacentral:rRNA from 1 species
UCGAACGAUGAAGCCUUUCGGGGUGGAUUAGUGGCGAACGGGUGAGUAACACGUGGGCAAUCUGCCCUUCACUCUGGGACAAGCCCUGGAAACGGGGUCUAAUACCGGAUAAUACUGCGGACCGCAUGGUCUGUGGUUGAAAGCUCCGGCGGUGAAGGAUGAGCCCGCGGCCUAUCAGCUUGUUGGUGAGGUAGUGGCUCACCAAGGCGACGACGGGUAGCCGGCCUGAGAGGGCGACCGGCCACACUGGGACUGAGACACGGCCCAGACUCCUACGGGAGGCAGCAGUGGGGAAUAUUGCACAAUGGGCGGAAGCCUGAUGCAGCGACGCCGCGUGAGGGAUGACGGCCUUCGGGUUGUAAACCUCUUUCAGCAGGGAAGAAGCGAGAGUGACGGUACCUGCAGAAGAAGCGCCGGCUAACUACGUGCCAGCAGCCGCGGUAAUACGUAGGGCGCAAGCGUUGUCCGGAAUUAUUGGGCGUAAAGAGCUCGUAGGCGGCUUGUCGCGUCGGUUGUGAAAGCCCGGGGCUUAACCCCGGGUCUGCAGUCGAUACGGGCAGGCUAGAGUGUGGUAGGGGAGAUCGGAAUUCCUGGUGUAGCGGUGAAAUGCGCAGAUAUCAGGAGGAACACCGGUGGCGAAGGCGGAUCUCUGGGCCAUUACUGACGCUGAGGAGCGAAAGCGUGGGGAGCGAACAGGAU